GUGCCAGCCGCCGCGGUAAGACGAACCGUACGAACGUUAUUCGGAAUCACUGGGCUUAAAGGGUGCGUAGGCGGCGCGGAAAGUUGGGUGUGAAAGCCCUCGGCUUAACCGAGGAAUUGCGCCCAAAACUGCCGUGCUUGAGGGAGACAGAGGUGAGCGGAACUUAGGGUGGAGCGGUGAAAUGCGUUGAUAUCCUAAGGAACACCGGUGGCGAAAGCGGCUCACUGGGUCUCUUCUGACGCUGAGGCACGAAAGCUAGGGGAGCGAACGGGAUUAGAAACCCUCGUAGUCC
rnacentral:rRNA from 1 species